UUUGCCUGGUUUGUGUUGACAACGGUACUGUACCACUGUACCCUACACAUGUAAUAUUUUUCUUUAAUUUUCAUUUAACAAUAAAUGUGCACAAUAUUCUUCUUCAUGGCGAAAUAAGACAAUCCCUAAAAAAAAAGACCUAGCUCACCUUUUCGAGC